CCUACGGGAGGCAGCAGUGGGGAAUAUUGGACAAUGGGCGGAAGCCUGAUCCAGCGACGCCGCGUGAGUGAAGAAGUAGUUCGGUAUGUAAAGCUCCAUCAGCCGGGAAGAAAAUGACGGUACCUGACUAAGAAGCCCCGGGUAACAACGUGCCAGCAGCCGCGGCAAGACGUAGGGGGCAAGGGUUAUCCGGAUUUACUGGGGGUAAAGGGGGCGUAGACGGUGCAGCAAGUCUGAUGGGAAAGGUCGGGGGCAAACCCCGGGCCUGCAUUGGAAACUGGUGAACUGGGGUACAGGAGAGGUAGGCGGAAUGCCCAGGGUAGCGGUGAAAUGCGUAGAUAUUAGGAGGAACACCAGUGGCGAAGGCAGCUUACGGGACUGUAACUGACGUUGAGGCUCGAAAGCGUGGGGAGCAAACAGGAUUAGAUACCCCAGUAGUC
rnacentral:rRNA from 1 species